rnacentral:lncRNA from 1 species
UCAAAUCCAGAGGUUAAGCGUACUCUGGCAACUUUACGUAACGCAGAGUUUGGUUUUUUAGGGUUAAUAGUGGAAAAGUUGACAGAUAAGUAAUCCUUACUGCCACUCUACAGAACCGUACAUGAGAUUUUCACCGCAUACGGCUCCUCGUUCAAUUCUUUCGACGUAAUUCGAUCCUUUAUCCUCGUUCGAUAAUCUCCACUUCUUCCCCCAAACCCAAAAUCACGAGAACUAAUUAAGUCAGUCACGUUUUCAUGUUUGAAUUGAACACUUUUUUUUAUUCUCAAAGGAGAAAAUUAUUCUUUUUACUUAUUUCUUUUCUUUUUUGCCAUUAUUCCUUCGUUUCAUCCUGUAAGAUCUGACCCAUUUUCUUAUUCAUCGAAAGGUCAGGUACGGAAUAAAGAAGAUUGAUUUUUUGAUCAAAAGUACUAUAUGAAAUUGUUGGUUUUUUCUCUUUCUACCUAUGUUGUAAGUAUACUGUUUAAAUCAAUAUCAAUAGAAAACCUUUUUUUCUGUAUGAAUCAAUAUUAUUCCAUUCCAAUUCCUUGCCAAUAUUUCCCAAAGAAAAUACGGAAUUGGAUCUUAAAUUGACGGGUUAGUGUGAGCUUAUCCAUGCGGUUAUGCACUCUUUGAAUAGGAAUCUAUUUUGUGAAAAAUCCCGGCUUUCGUGCUUUGGUGGGUCUUUGAGAUCCUUUCGAUGACCUAUGUUAAAAAGAUAUCUAUCUAUUUAUGAUACGACGAUGAAUUGUGUAAAGCGUGUAGUAGCAACGGAACCAGAGAGAAUAUAUGGAAAAGACAGUUCUAUUGUAUACUAUUCUAUUAUUAUAUAUUAAUAUUAGUUAAUGAUCUCGGCUCAGCGAGUCCUUUCUUUCGUGAUGAACUACCUACAUUUUGUCGCUGUGGGCCGAGGAGAAAGGCAACAAGAGGAUUGUAACAUCAUAAAAGCAAGUAGAUCAACGUCUUUCCAAUAUACAACAUAGGUUUUGGCAAUGCAAUGUGGUUGGGCUCUCAUGUCCAUCCGAAUAAAUCAUCCUUUUCGCUGAAGUAAUUGCCUGCUAGACAAGAGGAUAACAAGUUCAAAAUUCUGUGUUAAUGGUCGGAUUACCCCUCUGUUUUUUGUUUUGUAAUGAUGAAUCUUAUAUGUGUUCCUAAAAAAAAUUUGUAUCUUUUUCAGGGUCUCGGGGAGAAGUGGAAACACAGAUGUAACUCCAGUUACUUCGUAAAUGAAAAAAUCUUUGUCACAAGAAAAAAGGGGUUCAUCCAUUUAAUCUUGCCUUCGUUCUGAUUUAUUUCUAUUUUUAAGAAUACGGAGUCGGGUUCUUACCCGUAUUGAAUAGAACACUGAGCUAAAUCUUCUUUAUUUAGAUCCGGAAAAUCCUAUGGUUUUAUGAAAUCAUAUGAUAUUGCGCAAAUCCAUAGUCAAUCCUAUUUCCGAUCGGAGCAGUUGACAAUUAAAUCUAAUUUUGCCCAUUCAGCUAAGAGUGUUCCACGGAGGCCCGUUUAAGUUAAAAAAAAAAANUAUGAGCAAGUGAAAUGGAAUAAAAGAAAUAACAAAAUUUUGAAAAUUUGUCAGUUUAUUUGAAUCAUGAGGAAAGUGUGAUUCAAAUCAAGGAGCUCAUGAUUUGAAUUAUGUACAAAAAUGAUUUGGAUCAAAUGCAACAGCCCCAACUGGAAAAUGCUGAAAAAGUGUAUGAUUUGAAUCAUGUUUAAAAUUUAUUCAAAUCAAAUCAAGCAGAAAUGAACAUCAAGAAAUUGAUUCGAAUCAUCUGUAAAAAAUGAUUUGGAUCAAAUGGUCCAAAACCAAUUAACAACCACCAACAAAUAAUUCCAAUGAACAUAUGAGCUAAACAACUAAGAAGCAUAUACAACAAUAGAGAUCUCAUAUUGAACAUAAAAAUAGACAUGUCACGAGCAACAAAAUACAAAUAGACAUGCAACACCAACAUUCAAUAGCUAACAAUUACGCGUUCAAAUGCACAUAAUUAGUAACACAUACUUAAAAGACUUAAAUGCAAAUAAGAACAAUUAAAGACACAAGCUAGAGAUGAAUGAGUAACAUAAAAGGGAAAUAAGCAAACCAAUGCAUGACUCUAGAACAAAAACUUAGAAUGAUAUAAACCGAAUACAAGGGUUAUAGACACAUAUUAUUGUAGCUCGGUAAAAACUACGAUUUACUACAAAAUAGUAUUAGUGAAACAAAAUAUAUAUAGAAAAUGAAACUAAACUAAACCCUCAUUCUAUUUAAGGCAUGAAAAGUAUAAGACUCCCAAAUCCCUACAAAUAUUGUGAAAGGAAUCCGUUGACAUGUCAUUGAAUGCAUUCGAUAAUUCAAUAUAAGUAUACUCAUUUUCAUAAUCAGAAUUAUAUACCUUUGAAGUUCCACUUUUCUUACGUGCUAUCAAAAAAAAGCUAGCACCCUCAUCAUCUAAACUCGAUCAAGAAUAGAAGGAGGAGCUCUCAUCCUCUUAUUCCCACAUAAUGUAGGCUUUGUGACCUUUGGAAUUCUUUCCCUUCGUCUUGUAGAAAUCCUUGUCUCUUUUUAUGAUGUUUGGUGAGACUUGGACAUGUGGUUAUAUAGUGUCCCAAUUUACCACACUCGUAACACGUGAUAUCAUUAUCAACUUUCUUGUGAUCUUUCAUGGGUGGAUGAGUAUUUAUGAAAUUCCUUAGACCUUAGUCGGUAUGCUUGAGCUAGUUUCUCUUAAGAUAUCUAUUAUAACGUCUGACGAAUAAACCCAUUUCUUCCUUUUUGGAAACUUCUUCGCCAAAGUUGUCACUUUCUUUCUUUGAUUUCUUCCCUUUAGAAGAUGAAUAUUUCAAAGAAAGAUCUUAUUUCUCUUAUUUAUAUUUCUCUUUAUUUUUUGAAUUUACUUCACUAUCGAUGAUUCAUUUCAACUCAUUCUCUGCUUGACUAACUUUCCAAAUAGUUUUGUAAUAUCCAAAGUAUUAAGAUCAUUUGAUUCUUUUAUAGAAGUGACUUUUGAUUGCCACUUCCUGCACAUGGAUCUCAAUAUUUUGUUAGUACAAUCUUUCUUGGAAAAGAUUGUACCAACUUAUACACUUUGUUGAUUAAAUGGAGGAAUCUAGUUUGUAUGGAAUUCAAGGACUCUUUGGGUCCCAUACGAAAUAGUUCAAACUCUUCUAUAAACAUAUUGAUUUCAUAAUCCUUGAUGUCAUCUGUUUCCCCAUAGAGAGUUUGGAGAGUGUACCACAUACCUUUAGCACUCAUAUGAUGUAAAAUUGAAUAGAACACUUUAGCGCUUAACGGAGAAACAAGUAUGUUCCCCGCUUUCAAAUCAUAUGAAGCCUUUUUGGUUUCAACAUCAUCCCAAUCGUUUGGAUGUUUAGCAACGUCAUCAUUUUCCGUUGGAAUAUUCGGUCCCUCGAUGAUGGCACACCACAUAUUUUUUUCAACUGAUAACAAGUGUACAUAUAUGAUUGGUUUCCAAUAACUAUAAUCUUCUCUUUUGGAAAUAGGUUCUCUAUUAUACGCUCCCUUAGGAUCGUCACCUUCUGACAUAUUCAUAACUUUUGGAUGUCGAUUAGACACAAUCAUGAAGCUAGCAGAAAUAUACCCGAACACAUCGCACGCUCGAAGAUACAACAGAGUUCCCAUCAAACUUUAUUUAUUCCUGUAGGAAAAGGAAAAUAUCGAUAAAACCCGGGGCAAGAGAAAAAGGGCAAGGAAGUCAGUUAUGCAAGGGGAAGGUAUUAGCACCCCUCAUAUUCAUUUUAUUAAAUAGGAACCGUUUUGAUUGUUUUAUGGUUGGAUGAGUGUUACAUCUAAAGAUUACUCACAAAAGAAUAAGGGAAAAAGAACGGAAUAGAUAGAGUGCUCGGUGAGGAUUAAGGCACUCAUGCCUACAUAUCCUUAUAGUGAAAUAAGGAAUUCAGAGCUCCGUAGUUCAUAAAACCAAUGACGGGAGAUGAAAGAAGAGUGAUAAAGGUAUGGUUUGAACCAAAUGAUAAUGUGGUUUGAACCCAGAGGGUAGGUAUGUCUGAACCCAAGAGGAAAACUGGCAUAUUGCCAAAACAAAUGGGUAUUGCUUGUAUACGGUUGCAAAGUAAGUAAAGAGAUGUUUUUCUAAGAAACGAGAGGGAUAACAAGACACAAGAGGGUUUACAAGGCAACAUGGAUUCAUCUAGGGACGAGAGUGUCGCAUCCUGCGAAAAAUCAACCGGCGGGACUCAAAUAAAAACACACACAGAGCCGCCACUGCGCGUUAUUUAUCCCAAGAUAGGGAAAGGAAACGCUCAGAGAAACCUGGAAAGGAAAUGGUCUUGCGACCAAAGAGAAAGGGUAAGGGNGGUGUGACACAAAUUGUCACACCUAAGUUCCAAAAUUCAUAACUCAAUCACCAGGAAUCCAAAAUUCACAAAAUUUACAUGUAAAUAACCAUCAACCAGUCUACAAUUACCACAAAAAUUUUCAAGCGUUUCUUUCACAGCAUGAGGAUUUCACAAUGGAUAUGGUAGAAUGUACCAAAAUAUAUCACAUGUUAAUCAACCCUAAGUCAAACACAAUUUUCACCAUGCACAACUUCAAUCAAUAGGUCAAUAAAAUUCUACAGUCAAUUAGGAAGUCAACAAAAAAAACCACAUAUUUUUCUGAUUUUUAAAUUAUUUUUUAUGAAUUUUUUAAAGUGUUUAUGAAUUUUAACAAUUUUUUAGAAUUAAAUUAAUUAAUUGGAUUAACCAAUGGCAUAGUCGUAAUUAACAUGACGCGGGGGCGGUAAACACUGAGUUCAAAUAUUCAAAUGGAAUUUCAGAUCAAACACCAUUUCAUCAUCGUUUUCAUUCCAGAUUUUCCAGAAAAAGCAAGAACACGAAGAACAUGAAAUCUCCACCAAAACUCACAAACGAAUGUCGUUGGGAACCGUCCCUCAACCAUAGAAAGUCCAAUAUCAUCCUAACUCAACCUAAUUGUUCCUAUAUCUAUGGAAUCGAAGGAGUAGGUGUUUGGUUUCAUACUUCCAAUCAAUGAUUUUCAGCCUACAGUCAUCAUUUACUAAAACUAAAGCAUCACGAGCUCUACAUGAAGAGGUUCUACAAAAACGCAAUAAAGCAUCAAAGAACAUGAACAUUCGAAAAAAUCAAAUACCUGGAAUGCAGCGAUGAAAACUUGGUGUUCUUCGUGCGUGUUUUCCAACAAACAGAUGUAGUAGUGUGAUAAGGAAAGUGAUGAUGCGCUCAGGUUCGAACAAAUCAGCUCCUAAUGCUCCAAAUCGCGAUUUGCAUGAAUGAUGCUUGUAGUGUGCAGUCACGAUUCAAAGCUCCUUUCGCUUCCAAAUCUUCAAAAACAGAUGGAGAUGAUGAUGAAUCAAGACCAAUGCUAAAGAAUUUCGCAAAUUGAGCAAGAAUGGAGGAAGUUUGAUGAAUUUGAGUGUGAAGUGUUCUUGAGAGGUUCUUGGAGAAUUUUGAUGAAUUUUGAUCUGAUUUUGGGAAAUGUGUUUUCUCCUUAUGAUUUAGAUGUGAUUAGGAUAUAUACUCAAGCUUAAUUACCACUUAAUCACACUAAUUACCAAAAAUAGAAAUGAUUAGCAAAAGUGGUUAUUUCAAGCCUGGGGCAAAUUGUAUUUCCACAUGCCAGCUCAUUGCCACCCUCAUGGACAGCUCACACAACUCUCAAAAUGACAUGUGUGAGUUGUUGCAACUUGUUUCACCUUCAUUUGGAUGAGUAUUUGAAAUUCACUAUGUUGAUGGCACUUUGUCCAUUUUUGCAAGUUCAUUCCAAAAGCUAUUUUCCAAACCAUGAUGCUUUAAACGUUAUGAUGAUUCCAACAAAUUUCAAAUACCAUUUGUGAAGUGUUGCAAAAUCCCCACUCAAAAAUCCAAUUAUUUCACACGUUGGACAAUUUUUGCCUAUGGUUCAUUUAACUGUCGCAGUUGAAAUUUGACUUUUUGCAUUGACCAUUUUUGAGAAAACCAAUUAUGCACCAUGAAAGUAUAUGUCAAAUGGAGUUUGUGCAUAUAAAGAAAUUCCAAUUUGGAUGCUCCAUGUGGAAGUUAUGGCCUCCUGAUUAUGGGUCAUUUUUAAUUUCACUGAGCCCUAAUUUUCCAACCAUACAUGGGAAUUUUCAAAGUUCUUGGACUUUUUGGAAAGGUGAGACCAAGAUCUACAACUUUCAUGUUGAACAAAUUUUGAUUUGAAGCUUCCUUGGACAUUUUAUUUUGGAGUCAAAAACUUUCCAUUUUUGGAAACUUCUAUUACAAGUCACUUUCCAUUUUUGGCCAUUUUUGUCCUGACUUGAUUUUCUUCAUUCUUAAGCUUUGAGAUGUCAUACAACACUUGUUCCAACUGAAUGAAGUGUAUCCAACUCAUUUCCAACUCCAAAUCCAUCAGAUCAUGUACAGUUGACCACAGUUGACUUUUUCACUAACAAGAUGAAUUUGGCAAUGCAUAGAUCAAUCUGAGCUCCUCCAAUCUCCUGAUGAAAUGCUCAAGGAUGAAACCCUAACUCAAUUAGCUCAAUACAACCACAUAAUGAUCCCCAUAUCCAUCAUAACCACAUCUCCUGAUUAUGCCCUGAACUGGCCCAAUGGUAACUGAUUAGGGUUGACCAGUGGUCAAAAACCUAAUCUCAAGAAUAAGCUUCAAUCUCCUGAUGAUGACAAACCAUGAUGAUGAUGAUGUAUCAUUGUAAUCAAGAUGAAGACCAAUAUCCUUUGAGAAUCAAACAAAACCCUAAUUCACAGCCCAAUCCUCAGAUGGCCAAUGAUCAGUCAAUAAAACCCUAGCUUGCACAUUAACUUCCUCAUCUCCUGAACAAGACUUGUGAGGAUGACUUGCACAAUGUAACCACAUGAUAUGCAAUAUGCAAUGCCUAAUGACCUAAAAAUGAUAUGCCAUAUGUUAAUGCUAGUCCCAAGAGAGGAGGGCAAAUUUUGAGGUGUUACAGAGAGGUCUUAUAAGACGAACAAUGAAUAAGAUAUGAUUUGCCUAAGCACAAUAGGAUUUACAAGGAAAAUAAGCUCAAAGGGGUUGUCUAAGCACAAAAGGUCUUAUAAGAGAACAAUGAAUAAGAGAUAAUUUUCCAAAACACGAGAGGGUUUACAAGGCAAAAGAGCUCAAGGGGUUUCAUAAGCAUGAAAGGUGUUAAAAGGAAAAUAAUGAAAAAGAGAGAGGGCUUAAGAAUAAGAGGACUGAUAAGACUCACAAUUAAUGAAUAGGGUUUGCAAAUGCACAAGAGGAUUGUGUAGCGGUAAAUUCAUGACCAUCAAGCUAUGGAUAAACUUAACAUCAAUAAAACCACAGUCGCCACUGCGCUUUUAUUAUUUCCAAAGGAAAAGUAAAAAGUAUGAAAAAACCCCAAAGAUAAGAAGUUUUCAAAUCAAAACUAAUAAAAUGCCAGAGAUUACAGGUAAGGGGGUUGGUUACACAGAGGGAAUGUGUUAACACCCAAAGUGUCCUAGGUACUCCUAGGGAGCCCUUUUUUGUGUGCAUAUGUUUUUUGGUAUAAAUGAUGUUUGAUAAAAUAUAGAGUGUGGGGAUGAGAAAAGAAUUCAUUAAUUAUCUUUUUGUUUUUGACAAGACCUUCGGUCUUAUGCCUACGUACCAACAUAAAAAUGAGAGAUCAAAAACUCGUAGUUCGUGGUAAAUAUUUCAAAGAAGUUGGUGAAUUAAUUUUAACAAAAGUUUAACUAGAAAAGGGCACAAAAAGGCCAAACAUUUGAAUGAGGUUGUUAGUUCUUUUUGUCUUUUGAAAUUUAGGUCAAUAUGGUUAAGUUCAUUUACAAAUUUGAUUUAAGAAAAAGUUUUUAAAAAAUCAAUGGCAUGAGGUCAAAGUUUCUAAUCGUUAAAACACGUUUAAGUUGGAAAACACAUGCAAAGAAUUUUUUUGAAAAGAGGGAGAAGUUUUGAAAUUUAAGAAGUGAGAGGAGAUGAAGAGACUAUCCUAAGAAUUUUUUUAAAAGUUAAGAGUUGAAAAGAUCUGAUCAAUGGGAUGCAACUCAACAAACAAGAAUGUCGUAUAGAAACACAUUUUCCUUUGGACUUUGAUCAAGAAAUAAAAAAUAAGUAAUGAGAAAUAUCCAAACAUCAUAAAGAUCAAGGCAUCAAAUAAAGAUAUACAUAUCCAAGUAAGCAUUCCAAUAGCUAGCAGUCUUCAGUGUCUUCCAAUGUAUUAGAUGAAAUAUUCCUUGAUUAACUCAGAACAAAACAUCUGACAUAGACAAUAACCAAAAUAACAAUUAAGCACCAAGACAAAGUAACAAAUGAAUCAAUGAGAUCAAAGGUCUUGCAUCAGAUGAAAGUCACUGUCAAAGAUAGCUCAGUCUCAGAUGUUGGCAUUGGCCAACUCCUUCAGCAUAGGGAAUGCUGCCUAAUUCUAAGUCCAAAGCUCAAAUCAAGUCGCAAUAGUCCAUAAAAUGUUUUUUAGGGUUUUUGUUGUUAUUAGGUGUUUUAGGGUCCUAAGACCACAAAAUCAAAACACACAAACAAAUAUAUACAAUCACAAGAUAUGGCUCAAGUGAGCAAAGUAAAAAAGGACUUAAACAUAAACAAGUUGUAUGAAAUGUAAAUGGCAAUGAAUGAUAAAUGACUGAAAUUUAAAUUGCAUAAAGUAAAUGACUUGAAAGUAAAAGCAUAAUGAAUAAGAGUUGGUCAAUGGUUAGUCAAAUGUUAGUGUUGAGUUUUAAUUGAUUAAGUCAUUCUUUGGAGAACACUCAACCAUUCAUUCACAAGUAUAAAUCCUUGAACCAAGACAUCUCCCACGAGAAGGGCUCCAACUUGGAUAACUCGACAAGUAUGCCACUAGCUCUCAUGAAAGGAAAAAAUUUCAAAUCUCUAUACAAUGCCAUGAAGAAUGGGAGACUUACAUUCUCACUUACUAGAAUGUUAUGCCUUCUUGAUCAAAUCUAGCUCUAUGUUAAGUAAUUGUAAUUGGACUUAUGUAGAAGUCACAACUAUCUGAGGCCGAGAAAUAAAAAUAUAGGUGUUAAUGCAUGUUAGAGACUUGGUACAAAGAACCAAACUCCUAAAAUAUACCACACACUAAAAGAAAAUGAGAGGGACAUAUCUCAAUCAGACUUGUAUUGAUUCAUCUGACACAAGGUCAUUAUGAAUCAAUUAUCAUUUAGACAUUAGAGAUUUCAUUGGUCAAAUAAGGGAAUGAGGAAGAAUAGGGAUGAAGAUGAAUAGGGAGGGGGAAAAUAGAAAUACAAAUUGAUCAUGAGAGGAAUUUCAUCUGAUCAAUACCAUCCAUUCAUUUUGGGAGAUAAAAUGUACAUUUUAUCAAUCCCCUAAAUCCAAUGGUUUUGAUCAAACAAAAGUCAAAUCAACCAUGACCAAAGGACCUUAGAUAAAAAUUUUCACAAUUUUUAGAAAGUCAGAAGUAUUUUAAAAUAAUUAAAAAUAUGCACAAAAACAUUUAAUUCAUGAAAAUACCAAAAUUAAUCCAAAAAAUAAUUUUAAUUCAAAAUAUGGAAGAGGAAAUUUUUUAAAGAUUUUUGGUGAAAGUCCCAUAUUUUUUGGAUUAAAAUGAAAUUUCUAUGAAUUAAACAAAAUAAGUGGAUUAAAUGAAAAUUCAGAAAAUACAAAAAAACAAGGGCCAUCAGAUCUCCCUCAUUAAUUGAGCUAGCAAAUAUGAUGGUCAAGUGUGCGCUUCACAUCAUGCACCUCAGUCAACGCAUCAUAGAGAUGGUAAUCAUAAGGAGCGAUCAAGAUUAAAACAUUUCAAAUGAAUCAGAAGGUUGAGAGAGUGCCAACGCACGACCGGAGCCCUAGCUCCGGUCUUCUUCUCCGGUGGACCUCACCUGACUGGUCCACCACCAACCUUCACCAAAAUAAAAAGUGUGGACAUGAUUUUAAAGGAAAAAUGCUCAGGAGCUCGAAUCUGACCUCCAUUUCAUCCAAUUCCAUUUAUUAUGAAAGAUACAUGGAUUUGAAAUUUGAGGUUCAUGAUCUGAGUUGCUUCGGUUUGACCUUAAAGCAACUCAAUCUUGUUGCCUACAUUGGUAGGACUUCAGACAACCAAUAAUCAAGUAAAAUAGUUGAGAAAUGAGGGAGAAUCGAAGAAGAGAAGUUUGAGAAAAAUCACCUUCGGGUAGCUUCAAUUCAUCUUGAUAUUGUUUCAAAUUUUCCUUGGCUCGACUCUAGAAGCUUGCAGGAAGUGAAAUGGAUCAAUGAGAGGCUUGGAUUCUUGGAGUUUCAAUCUCAAAACAGAAGGAGAAUUGAAACUCGAUUUCAAGUGAAAUCUUCAAGUUUAUCCUUUAAUGGAAGCUAGGGAUGCAAGGGUUCAAAGCUUGGGCAAAAGGGAUCCUCAUUCGAUCGCAAUGGUCAUGUAUAUAUAGCAUAAUAAGUUGCUUUUCACACACUUUGGAAUUUUGCCAAUUUUAGCAACUUUGGUGCAUGGAUGCAUAGGUAAUGAUUUGGGCCCAAUUCAUGAUGUGAUCUCACUCCAAUUCGUGCACAAUGAAUCUUGAAAUAAUAACAUGUAAGCAUGCAAAAGGAAAUGGUCAAUUGAAUUCAAAUCUUGCCAAAACAAACAUAUGAAAGGAACCAUGCGCAAUUCCCUCAAAUCUUGUCUAAAUUAAGUGAUCUUGGACUUUUCAGAAAGGUUAAAUCAAGGGGAACAACUUUGAUGUUAAAAACGUUUCCAUUUUAAGCUUGUAUCAUGAUGAAUUUUGAGGUGGAAGUUUGAGAAAUCAAACAUAAUUGAAAUUUUUUAAAGCUACCAAGUCAAAUGACCACUUCUUCCACCUUGAAUAACUUUUUCUAUGAGCUUCAAAUGAAAAUGGUUUCUUCACAGAAGUUGUAUCUUUUUCAUCUCUAUUUAAUUUGGUAAAAAAUUUGACCUCAUUUGGAUUUGGCAUGAGGGAGUUCUUCAUUUUAGAAGUUGAGGAAAAUUGCUUGUUCAAUGGUAAUGGCCCAAAAGGACCUAUAAUGUUUCCUCUUGGAACAUGCCCUUGCAAGUUGAAUUUUACAUUUCUCAAAUAAUAAAGGUUGAAGAGGAAAUAUUUAAAUUGAUCAUGAAACUUUGAUGGUCUUUAUAUCAUAAAAAUUGAGCGACUUAUGGUCCUUAGAAGUUGACCUCCUAAUUAGGACAUAAACAAAAUGACUUAUAAUCUUUCACCAUAAACAAUGACUUUCCAAGCAAAACUAGAUAUUGAUGUAAACAUUAAAGUUGUUUGGAAUGUCAUAAAGAGUAACUUUGAUCUUGGAAUCAUUUUCAUAUGACAAAAAGUGUAGGAGAUAGGGUCUAGGGAAUUCCAGUUUUGACCAAUUGACUUUCUUUGGUCAACCUCUUUGAACCAACUUGCAAACUUGGAGUUAUCUUGAUCUUUGGGACUCAUGGAGGAUAAUAUAUGCAUAAUAAGAUGUUAAAUUAAGUAUCCCUUGAUAUAUUGGAUCAAUUGUUGAAGAAACUUGUUGAGGAAGUCACACAAGAUACCCAUAUGAAUUAGGGUUUUCAAGGCAAACAAGCUUCAAACUCUUGAUGAUUUCUUGAUCCAAAUGAUAAAUAAAGAACAUGGGGAUCCAUAUAUGAAGUUAAUAACCAUUGUGAACCAUAUAUUGAUUGAUCUCCUUGCACUGAGGGUCUCAAGCUCUAGUUGUGAGCUUGAUAGGGCACAUGUGGAUGCACACACUACCUACAAAAGAAUCAAAGCUAUAUAUGGACAUAUUUUUGUAUUUUGGUUAGUAAACAGAGAACAAUAAAGUAUGAUACAAUCAAAUGUGCUUGGUGAUCUCUCCCAAAACAAAUCCAAUGAAUGGGGGGGGGGGGUAAGAAGGAUGCCAUGGUGUGAUCCCACAUCCAAUGCAAAUGAUGAGAUAGCAUGAGGGAUCUUAGGGUCAAAAUUGGGGUCUUACAGCUGCCCCUAUUUAAGGACAUUCUAACUGAGGAUGUGAAGGUUAAAAUAUUUGUAUCACCUCAGUGUAAUGGACUUAAAUAAAAACGUCAAGAAAAAAAUUUUGGUCCCUAAGAGACCUCAUGAUGCAUAUGAUAUGAAUGUUAAAAUAAUCUUUGUGGGGAAUAUAUUGCCACAAAGGAAAAGAAUUCGGAGAGACUGAAAGUCCAAAGAAGCAUAAUGCAUUCCAUAAGGAAAACUCACUGAGGAGACAUAGACUCUAGGGGAUAAAAUUCUAUGCAUAUGCCAGGCUACGACUUGAAAACUGCUAGAGACACGAGGGAUUUUCCAUAAAAAUAAAUCAAUGGAAAGACUCGGUCUGGGGAUAAGGUUAUCUGCAGGGGAUGGCGACUUCACUAAGGAAAUACGCGCUCAAACUCAACUGGGGAAGAACGAACUUCAAUACAGGAGUAAAAGAGAUGUAUUAUCUACUAUCAGUUACUGGGUAAGAAGAUAAUAUACUCUGAUAGAGGGACAUCCAUUACCGAUUAGGGUAAACAUAUCAAGGAUGACUCGCUGAGGAAAAAUAGGCGCAUUCAUUAUCGAUUACUGGGUAAGAAUAACCUACUGGGGAGAAAAAAAAUAAAAUAGGAUUUACAACUACCUGUUACUAGGUAGAAGACCAAAAAGAGAGUAUCCGUCACUGGUUAAAGUGAACAUAUCAAGGAUAAACUCAAAGGAAGAAUAUUCGUCAUCGAUUAGGAUGAACAUAUCAAGGAUAGACCACCUGGGGAAAGAGGAAGAAUAUCUGUUACGUAUUAGGGUAAAUAUAUCAAGGAUAAAAUGCCGAGGAGAAAUAUGAAUUACAACUACCAGUUAUUGGGUAGAAGACCAAAGAUAGAGAAUACCCGUUAUCGGUUAGGAUGAACAUAUCAAGGAUAGACUCAGCAGAGGAAAUAGGAUUUACGACUACCGGUUACUGGGCAGAAGACCACAAAAAUUGAGAGAAUAUGUCAUUGGUUGGAGUGAAUAUAUCAAGGAUUAACUCUGAGGGGAAAAGUAGGAUUUAUAUCUACCAUUUACUGGGCAGAAGACCGUAAAGAGGAGAAAAUUCGUCAUCGGUUAAAGUGAACAUAUCAAGGAUAGACUCUCUAGGGAAUAAAAGUAGGGAUUACAACUACCUUUUUACUGGGUAGAAGAGCAAAAAUAGAGUAUAUUUGUCAUCGGUUAGUAUGAACAUAUCAAGGAUACACUCACCGGGGAAACAUGAAAAUGAAUCCGCUGGGGAAAAUAAAGGAAGUAGAUUACAUUUUAUCGAGUAUUAGGCAAAAGUAAUGUACUCAACAUCAAGAAGAAUAUUGCCUGUUUAUGGGUAAUAGACCUUGGAGACCAAAAGAUCCAUUUAGGUAUGAACUAGAAAGAAAUGGUCAAACAAAGACUCAACGCAAUGAGGAUAUAACUCAAGGGGAGUGGUUCCAUCCAGGUAUAGUACUGGGGAGAACACCAAAAUAAUAAUCAUCCACAAGGAAAUAACUCAAUGGGGAAUGAGACAAGAUAAACUCUUUCUUCUUAAAGGGGAUGACACUCUACAAAUGAAGGAGGACAGACACACCAAAUCUUUAUGGGGAAAUAAUAUCACCAAAGAAGGGGAUCAGAAGAAAAAAUCAAUGCGAUAAAAAUGCGUAAUGAAAUUUCUUAUGUUGUGUUUUAUGCAUGAAUAUGCAUGUGUAUGAUUAUGAUUAUGCCGACAAAAAUAGCACUAACGAUACAAAUAACGAAUAUUUGAAUCAUCACUAUAAAACACUCAGCUAAUCUCAACAAGAUGGAAACACCAACUAGAGAAUAUGCUAGGGAUGAAAAUAAAUCAUCUAGCUCUAAAUAAAUCAACUCUGGCUGGGGAAAGACAUGGAGAACAUGCUUCCAAUCAAUCAUGGCAAACUCCCCGGGGGGGAAGAGAGCAUUGUUGAAGGAUAAUUAACCAAACAUGCAUAGGAUAGAGAAGGAUAUGCUAAGGAUCCAAAUAAGCCAACCCUUCAGGGAAUUUUAAGUCAACACCAUGUCAAAUGAUAGACAACCUUGCAGGGUACAAAAACAAAUACUGCUCAGAACCAAACACUGUCGGGAAUGAGGGAUCUUCUAUCGAAAUAUGAACUCCGCCAGGGAAUAUAAGAGAUAAAACUCUGAAUGGGGAUUUGAGCAAAUUGUUGGGGAUGCUGUGACUUGUUGGAAUAAACCAAAGACCAUCAUACUCCUCAAUAAUCAUAAAAUCCUUCUUGGAAAUUGCGAAAUAAACCAAUUCCAAGGCAAAGAUAACCAGGAUCAGACUCACAUAGGGGAGAAGUUGUCGUGGUUAUGUAACACAAAAAAAAUGCAAUUGGGGACCUGGAGACCAAAUAAAGGUUCCGAGAUAUCCAUGGUUCAAUCAUCAAGUCACAAACUAGGGGAUGAAAAACAUGAACACCUCAGCUGGGGAAGAUGAAAUUUGCAAAGGGGACUAAUCAUCAUCUCUACCGGAGAUAAUAAGUUGCUCGGGGAGCAACUUCUUAACCAAGUUGGGAACAAACGACGAACUGUUGGGGAGGAAAAAGUUACCAAACCAACUGCUUGGGGGAGACCAACAAUGCUUCACACUUCAAGACUUACUUGCUAAAGUGAAUGUUUUUAUUAUUUUAAGAAAAAUAAUUAUUCGUUAAUUUAUUUCAAAAUUAUCAUCAUAAAAAUUACACUUUAUUACAGAAAUAAAUAAGAAUGGAAAUAAUUGGAUAAAAGCUCAACUUUAUUUAAUAGAAUGGUAGUCCGCGAAUGGUAGGACUCCACGGAUCUUUACAAAGUUUGAGAAAUGGUAUUUUACAUGGAAAAGGGUUACAUUGAAUACAAUGAUCACUACUCUCCCUACCAACUUUAAAAUCCGUUAUGCUCUUGUAUUUGGUUGAGAAUGACGAAUCAGAACCAAAUGACUAUUCAAAACUGCUUCAAAGACCAGGACCGACCGAAUGCAGUUACUUGCCAUAAUCCCUAAUUUUUGCCUAGAUUUCUCCAAGGUGGGGUACUCAAUCUACCGGGAUAAAUUUUCUGUUUUGUGUCUGUAACUUUUGCUUGGAUCGCCCUUUCGGGUUUUCAAUCCACCGAGACACUCAUUUUUGCCUAAGCCGCCCUUUCGGGUUUUCAACUUAGCGAGCUUUUCCUUUAUUAUUUUAGGCGAAUUAUUUCUUGACUGCACCGGCAUUCACAGGACGCGUGAACUCUUUACCAUCCAUAGUUGUAAGAAUUAAAGCACCUCCUGAAAAGACUCUCUUAACAACAUAUGGGCCUUUAUAAUUAGGAGUCCAUUUGCCCCUAGAAUUAGGUUUGAAAGAUAAAAUCUUCUUGAGCACGAGGUCACCUCUUCUGAACACACGGGGCUUAACCUUCUUAUUAAAAUCUUUCUUCAUUCUUUGCUGAUAUAACUGACCAUGACACAAGGAAGUCAAUCUCUUCUCUUCAAUCAAAUUCAACUGGUCAUAUCUACUUUGACACCAUUCAACUUCAGUAAACUUGGCUUCCAUCAAAACACGCAAUGAUGGGAUCUCCACCUCAAUGGGGAGCACAACUUCCAUGCCAUAAACAAGAGAGAAAUGGGUUUCCCCAGUUGAAGUGCAGACGGAUGUACGGUACCCAUGCAUAGAAAAUGGGAGCAUAUCAUGCCAAUCUUUGUACGUCACAACCAUCUUCUUAAUGUUCUUAUUCACAGCUUCAACAUCCCCAUUCAUCUUGGAUCUGUAAGAUGAAGAAUUAUGAUGCGCAAUCUUGAAGUCUUUGUAAAGAGCUUCCACCAUAUUAUUGUUCAAGUUUGAUCCAUUAUCAGUAAUGAUCUUACUUGGCACACCAUAACGACAUAUAAUUUGAUUCUUGAUAAACCUUACAACAACUUGCUUGGUCACAUUUUCAUAUGAUGCCGCUUUAACCCACUUUCUGAAGUAGUCAAUAGCCACUAAAAUGAAACGAUGUCGGUUCGAAGCUCAAUCAUGCCAAUCAUGUCAAUCCCCCACAGGGAGAAGGGCCAUGGAGAGGAAAUGAUGUUCAACAGUGUCAGAGGAACUUGAAUCUUAUCGGCAUAAAUUUGACACUUGUGGCACUUCUUCACAAACUUGCAACAAUUAAAUUCCAUUGUCAGCCAAUAGUAACCCGCUCUCAACAUCUUCUUUGCCAUAACAUGUCCAUUGAAAUGAGUACCAAAGGAACCUUCAUGGACUUCAGUCAGCAAUAUGUUUGCUUCGUGUCUAUCCACACAUCUGAGCAGAACCAUAUCGAAAUUUCUUUUGUAAAGCACAUCACCAUUCAAGUAGAAGUUGCCAGCUAAUCUUCUCAAAGUCUUCUUAUCUUUCAAAGAUGCCCUAGACGGGUAAAUCUGACUUUGGAGGAAACAUUUGAUAUCAUAAUACCAUGACUUUUCAUCCUUGAAUUCUUCAACAGAAAAUACAUGAUUUGGCCUAUCAAGACGCAUCAUAGUCAAAUUAGGAACCUCAUUCCAAAAAUUCACCACAAUCAUUGAAGCCAAUGUUGCAAGGGCAUCUGCCAUCCGAUUUUCAUCUCGAGGGAUAUGAUGAAACUCAACCUUUGUAAAGAAAGUUGAAAUCCUCCUCGCAUAAUCUCGAUAUGGUAUCAAACCAGGUUGAUUCGUCUCCCAUUCACCUUUGAUCUGAUUCACCACCAAAGCUGAAUCUCCAUAGACGUCAAGAUACUUAAUUCUGAGAUUAAUGGCCUCUUCAAGCCCCAUAAUGCAGGCUUCAUACUCAGCCAUAUUGUUUGUACACUUGAAGGUUAAUCUAGUUGUAAAUGGAAAAUAUGUGCCUUGAGGAGUAAUAAUCACUGCCCCAAUGCCAUUACCAUAUGAAUUGACAGCUCCAUCAAAUACCAUGCCCCAAUGGGAACCAGGUUCUGGCCCUUCUUCAAGUAAUGGUUCAUCACAAUCUUUCAUCUUCAAGUACAAAAUCUCUUCAUUAGGAAAAUCGUAUUAUACUGAGUGAUAAUCUUCAAUAGGUUGGUGAGUCAAAUGCUCAGCCAAGACACUACCUUUAAUGGCUUUUUGAGAUCGAUAUUCAAUAUCAUACUCGGAUAACAACAUCUGCCAACGGGAAAUUCUCCCAGUUAAGGAAGGCUUGUAAAAAAUAAUUGAUUGGAUCCAUUUUGGAUAUCAACCAAGUAGUAUGACUCAACAUAUAUUGGUGCAGACGAUUAGCAGCCCAAACCAAUGCGCAACACGUCCUUUCAAGCACAGAAUACCGAGUCUCACAGUCGGUGAAUUUCUUACUGAGGUAGUAAAUUGCAUAUUCUUUCUUCCCAGAUUCGUCUUGCUGACCAAGAACAUAACCCAUACUCUCUUCAAGCAUAGUCAAAUACAUGAUCAAAGGUCUUCCUUCAAUAGGCGGAGAUAGAAUCGGAGGCUCAAGCAGAUACUCCUUGAUAUUAUCAAAAGCUUUCUGGUAAUCUUUGGUCCAAUCACAAGACUGAUCUUUCCGAAGAAGCUUGGAUAGAGGCGCACAUGUGGCGGUCAUAUGCGAUAUAAAUCGUUAGAUAUAAUUCAAGCGUCCGAGAAAACCUCUGACUUGCUUCUCAGUUUUGGGUGCAAACAUCUCUUGUAUUGCUCUGACCUUGGAAGGAUCAACUCCAAUACCCUUCGCACUGACAAUAAAGCCCAACAACUUACCAGAACGAACACCAAAAGUACACUUAUUGGGAUUCAAGCGGAGUUUAUACUUUCUCAAACGCUGGAAUAACUUUAACAAAUGCUCAACAUUCUCUUCUUCAUCAUUUGAUUUAGCAAUCAUAUCAUAAACAUAAACUUCAAUCUCUUUAUGCAUCAUAUCAUGAAAAAGUGUGGUCAUAGCUCUCUGGUACGUUGCACCAACAUUUGGUAAACCGAAAGGCAACACUCUAUAACAUAAUGUUUCUAGAGUGUAAUGAAUGUGGUCUUCUCCAUAUCUUCAGGUGCCAUCUUGAUUUGAUUAUAACCGGAAAAUCCGUCUAUAAACGAAAAUACUUUGAAUUUAGUUGUAUUGUCUACCAACAUAUCAAUGUAUGGCAGAGGAGAAUCAUCUUUCAGAUUAGCUUUGUUUAAAUAUCUGUAAUCAACACACAUGCGGACUUUUCCAUCUUUCUUUGGAACAUGCACAAUGUUGGCCACCUACUGCGGAUACUCGGAGGUAAUAAGAAAUCCAGCAUCAAUCUGCUUUUGCACUUCUUCUUUGAUCUUUACUGCCAUAUCAGGAUGAGUUCUUCUCAACUUCUGCUUGACCGGCAGGUAUUUUGGCUUCAACGAUAAUCUAUGCUCCACAAUCUCAGAACCAAAACCAGGCAUAUCUUCAUAAGACCAAGAAAACACAUCAGAUUACUUUCUAAGAAGAUCAAUCAACCCCUUCUUAGGUUUUGGACACAAUUGAGACCCAAUCUUAACUUUCUUUACAUUAUCAUUGGAACCCAACUUGACUAAUUCAAUCUACUCUUCAAACGACUGAAUGGCUUUCUCCUCAUGCUCAAGAAAACAUGAUAACUUAUUAGAUACUUCUUCAUCAUCAUUUUCUUCUUCAGCUUCAAACACAGGGAAAUUAAAGUUUGGAGAGGGAGUAGGAUCAUUAUAAUCAAUGGGUUUGAGAACCAACCUGCAUAAUGAUUUGAUAUUCUGGUUUAAGAGAAGUGGAGUGCAAACAAAUAUUAUGCAGGUGGAAGAUUAUUAUUUAUUUAUGUUUUUUUUGUGAUUACCAUUUUCAGAAAAAACAAACAGUAAAAAUAAAACAUCACAGAUUUGGAUGAAUAAAAUUGUAUUUCAUUGAUGAUAAUAAGGAAAAUGCCCAACAAUGUUCACUUCUCCCUUAGGCAUAGGAGAGGGAUUUUUCUUAAAAUAAAUGAAAACAAAUUACUUAGAACGGUGUAUAACAGUAGGAACAUCAACAACAACCCAGUUGCUGCAAGUCCGGCCAUGCGUCACAAAGUUGGCGCAAGCUUCGUCUUUGUCACUACUAUCCUCAAUAAUGGCAGCUGAGUGUUGAUCAUUCCCAUGAAUGAACCCUCCACUAUGGAAUACUGGUUGCAUAACCUUGACAUUAGCGUUGAAAGGCCUUGGUUGAAAUCCUAUCCCUGCUCUAUUUUUAUUCUUGGUGACUUCUACAACACGACUCCACUUAUCAAUACUGCCAACCUGAAUAGCCUCUUGCACAUCCUUCAAAGAAGACAUGGGUGCCCCAUCUUUCUUCAAUUCAUCAACAAUGGACAAAGCUUGGAGCGACGUUCUAACUUCCUCCUCAACAUGAACAUAAGUGAAAGAUGACAAAUGACUCACCAAUAAUGCGUUCUCUCCACCACCAACGACAAGCUUGCUGUUCUUUACAAAUUUCAGCUUUUGGUGAAGAGUAGACGUCACAGCUCCAGCCUCAUGAAUCCAUGGUCUUGCCAACAAGAAGCUAUAGACCGGGUGUAUUUCCAUUACCUGGAAAGUAAUUUGGAAAUCACUCGGACCUAUCUUAACCGGAAGGUCCACUUCUCCAAUGACAGUUUUACGAGAACUGUCAAACGCUUUAACGACUACGUCGUUGUACCUCAUCGGGGUGCCUUGAUAGGAGAGUCUUUACAGAGUUGACUUUGGCAACACAUUCAAUGAUGAUCCAGUAUCAACCAACACAUUGGAAAAAGCAUCCUAUUUGCAAUUUAUUGAAAUAUGUAGCGCCAAAUUAUGAUUUCUGCCUUUCUCAGGAAGCUCUUCAUCAUAAAAACGCAUAUUGUUACAAGAAGUGAUGUUGGCAACAAUAUGGUCAAACUAAUCCACAGUCACAUCGUGCUCUACAUAAGCUUGUUCCAACACUCUCUAUAAGGCUUCUCUAUGUGCCUCAGAAUUCAUCAACAAUGACAUCACAUAGAUCUUUGACAGCGUAUAGAGAAGCUGCUCCACAAUGUUAAAUUCAUUUCUUUUGAUCAGUCGUAACACCUCAUCAUCAUCGUUAGUCUUCAAUUUGCUGGAUUCACCAAACUGACACAUUAGAGUACUAACUGGAUUCACUCCAGGAAUCCCUGCCUUCUUCUCUACAGAAACAUCUUCCACAGCCUUCAGAAACACUGGACUGAACACACGACCACUACGGGUCACCUUCGCAAUGUCCGCAAUAUUUACCACUGAGUAUGCAACUGGUAGAGGAACCUCUCGAUAAUUUUCAAUCAUUGUGGCAUUGUACUGAUAUGGUAUAGCUUUAUCAGAUGCAUAAGGAACAGGUCCCGCUAACCAUAUUACCAACGGUGAUACCGAUCUAUUGACAUUAUUAUUGUUGCUGCUAUCAAACUGAAUGACUACCCGCUCAGGGGUCUGAAACAUCGGCACAAUGACAUUCACAUCAUUUACCAUAUCCCUCAAAUGUUAAUCUGGAUUACAUUCUCAUCCAUCAACUUAUGGAUAUCCCUUUUGACAAUCAUACACCCACGGGGGUUCACACUGCAAAUGACACAACCAUCAUGGUCAUGUUCACAAUCACUAAUUAAACACAAGGAUCUAUGCAUUUCUACCAGAGAUCUUUAGAUACACCUCACAUCAAAAACUCUGAAUAUCCCUGGACAACCGUUCACCAUGUUGACAGAAGCGUUACCAUGAGCAGGCAACAAAUUGGCUUUCAUAUUCGGCGCUCUAUCCUCAAAGGACACCAUACCACUUUUCACAAGUUUUUGAACUUCAUAUUUCAGCGGAUAGCAAUUCUCUAUAUCAUGACCAGGGGCUCCCUGGUGAAAAGCACAUGAAGACCAGGUUUGAACCACCAUGGUAGUGGCUCAGGAAUUUGGGGAGGGUUUCUUGGAUGAAUAAGAUUCUUAAGUACCAAAGACGGGUACAAAUCUGUAUACAUCGUAGGAAUAGGGUCAAAGGAGACCUUCCUCUCAAAAUUUUGCGGAUGAUGAAUGUUGUUGUUGUAGUUGGUUCUUUGUUGUGGUUGUUACUGAUGUUGUUGUUACUGAAUUGGAACUAAUUGAUUAGUUGAAUUGAUAGCAAAAACUGGAGUUACUGAUGAUACUUGGUGAUGAUAUUGACGAGAUUGAGAACUUUUCCUUACAUGAGGCCUCCUCUACCUCCCCACUGACACUGAAUUAGUUUCUCCCUCCUUCUUCUUGGAGAAACUCCCACCAUACUUCUUGCUAGCUGACGCCUCAUCUUUAGAAAAACGUCCUUCAAAGACUCCUUCGUCUAAUCUCAUCCCCGUGUUUACCAUCUCAGUAAAAUCAUUGGGGGCACUUGCAAUCAUGCGUUCGUAGUAAAACGAACUCAGCGUCUUAAGGAAAAUCUUGGUUAUUUCCUUCUCUUCAAGAGGCGGACUGAUUUGAGCAGCUAAUUCUCUCCAUCUCUAAGCAUAUUCUUUAAAUGUCUCCUUAUCCUUCUGAGACAUCGAUAUCAAUUGAUCUCUAUCUGGCGCCAUAUCAAUGUUGCACUUAUAUUGCUUGACAAAGGCCUCACCCAAGUCAUUGAAAGUAUGAAUGCUGGCACUGUCCAUGCCCAUGUACUAUCUGAGGGAAGCUCUAGUUAAAUUGUCUUGAAAGUAGUGAAUCAACAGCUGAUCAUUAUCAGUUUGAGUAGACAUUUUUCUGGCAUACAUAAUAAGAUGGCUCAACGGACAGAUAUACCCUUUGUAUUUUUCAAAGUCUGGGACCUUGAAUUUCACCAGAAUCUUGACGUUGGGAACUAAGCACAAUUCAGCAACACUCUUUCCAAAUAAAUAUUUCCCUCUCAGAGUCUUCAAUUCUUUGCAUAACUUAAGGAACUGAUCUUUCAUCUCAUCCAUCUUCUCAUAGACAUCUGGACCUUCAGACGACUCAGAAUGGUAGAUAGUCUCCUCAACACGAGGCAAAGUAUGAAUGAUGGGAGGAGGCACUGACAUGACCGGGCUAGAUUCCGGCAGAGAAACAAACGUGGGCGCAUACCUCUCUGUCAUAAAAUUUGGUGGCAUUCCCCAAGGGAAUCCAACAGACAUAGCAGGAAUGGGCUGGCUGGCAGCAGUAAUAGUUACAGACGGUGAAGCAAUCUCAGAGAUGACAGUCCUCUGAGGAUGAGGAGUUGCGGGAGACGGUGAUGAAUGGUUUUGAGCAAUAAUCACAGAUUCCAUCAGCGUCGUAAGUCUGGCGAUCUCAUCCUUCAGAUCUCCAUUCUCUCGCUCUAGAUGCUCCAUUCUCUUCAGUCGAUUAGCACGAGUGUUGUAGUGGUGAGUCAGCUUGGCUGAUGCACAGAAGAAGAAUUGAUAAGACAUCUGGCAGAAGAAACCUGUUAUGCAAAUGAUGCAUGGAAUGCAAUUUUUUUUAUUGUUUUUAAUUUCAAGGAAUAUAUGAAGUCUUAUUUGCAAAUUUAUAUAUUCAAUUAAUAAUACCAAUAAUAAUAACAAUUCAAUGGACCAUAGAAUCUCUUUUUUCCCCAUAAAAUUGGAAGGAUUACACUGAGUAUAAUUUCAGAAACCAAAAUACAAAUACAAGAGAAAAGGAAACUAUCAUCCUACGAAUCCUAGCAACUACAUCAGAUGAUCUGGCUAUGGGUGUAUACUUCCUUCAUAUGCAUCGAAUCUUAGACUCAAAGGUUGUCUUCAUCUAAUCCUUCUCGAGGACAAGCUGAUCAACAAUCUUCUUCCAAGCACCAGAAGCUGGAGGCAUACUAGAGGAAAAUAAAUCCUCUAGCUCUCUCUGUCUCUUUACUGCAUGAUCCUCAAGAAUCUCAAUAAGUGCAUCCUUGUCUUUCAACUUAAGCUGCAACUCCUCAUGCUUUUGGUUCAAAGCAUGUAGCCGCUCUUCCCACAUAACUCUCUCUUGCUUCAUCUUGGCGAGUGCCUCUUCCAACUCCUCUAUAUCUUGGUUAGGGAGAGUUGAUGGCUCAGCCACAACCACAGACAUAGGUCUCUCACAAGCAUAUGGCAUCUUCAACUCCAAAGCUCUCUUCUUCACCCAAAUAGUGUAAGCUUCCAAAGCUACACAGUUGCGUGAACCAAGUUCGGAUCUUCCCUUCCUAUGCACAUUAUGCCAAGCAUGUAUCAUCCUUUUCUUCAAAUGUUGGGGAUCUUUACCCUCUUGAUAAAAUAGACCUUCUAACCGAGUGUUCUUAGGUUUAUCUCUUAAGGGGAACCCAAGUUGACGACGGGCCAAUGCUGGGUUGUAGUUGAUUCCUCCUUGUGUACCAAUGAGAGACACGUUAGAGAACUCACCAUAACUGUCAAUAAUGUCCAAGCUACCCAAUAUAGGAUCAUACCAAACAAUAUCAUCAUUAGUGUGAGACAUAAGCCUCUAGGACCAUCGUAGACAUUUUCGAUUCUCCACAAAAGCAGGUGUCUGAGGCAAGUGCGAAAUAAACCACUUGUACAUAAGAGGAACACAUCACACAAUAGUCCCACCACCUUUAGAAAUCCUCAAAUGCAAAGAGAAAUACAUGUCACCCAACAGAGUCAAAACAUGAUUCCCAAUCAAGAAAACUCUAAGGGUGUUAACAUCAACAAAACUGUCAAUGUUAGGGAACAAAACCAAGCCAUAGAUAAGUAAUACAAAGAUAGCUUUAAAAGCAUACAUGCUACCAGCUUGAGCAAAAACAGCAACUCUACCAAUGAGAAAAUCAGAAGUCAAUCCCAGAAUUCCUCCUUUCUUCACCAAGUGAGCACUAAUCUCAUAUUUCUUCAGAUGAAGAGCUUCGGUUAUGAUAUGAGAUAUCGGGAUCUCCUCUAAUCCACUAAAAGGUACCUUGUUAGACACGAGCAUACCCAAGAAAUGGGUAGACUCCUCCAACUUGGGCACAAGCUGAUAGUCAAGAAAAGUGAAGCACCGGUAGAGAGGCUCAUAGAAAUGAAUCAAAACACUCAUAAGCCCUUCAACCACAUUAGUAGAUAAUACAGACAAGAGCUUCCCAUGACGUUGCUUGAAAUCCAAGGGAUCUAGUACAAAGGAUGACAACUUCCUUAGCUCUUUCAAAUUGAGACAUCUUAAAUUGUACUUCUUAGUGUUCCUUCGUCCAUAAUCCAUGGUCUGAAAAUAUUUGCAAAUAAGACCUUAAUUUCCUUGAAAUUUGUUUUUUGUGAUGAAUGUCAUGAUGCGCAUGUAUGCAUGGAUGCAACAAUCACACACAAGGGAUCACACACAAGGCAAACACAAAUAAAGGUCAAGGGAUGGAUCAAGUCAUCAUCAAGAUCAAUCAUCAAUUUUAGUGGAUUAUGGUUUUCACCUUAUCAACACCCAAGUUCUAUUGAUAUUGACAAGACUUGAUCGGAUCGACCAAGAAUCAAAGGAUUUGUUAUAAGUCAUGAGCAUGUAGUCAGGUUAAGAACCAUCCCAAAGGAGUGUACUAAGGAUAAAAACCUGUAGAUCAUGUUCUAAAAAGUUACCAGAGUCUUAAUCCCAUCUAUCGAAUAUUAUAGGUUAGGAUGACUGACUCAUCAACCCAUAAUAUUCUCAAGAGAAACUCGUCUGAGUGUAGUAUCGCGUAAAAACUGUUAUCAAGUCUACACUUGAAGAGUCUCCAUACUACAUCCUAAAUAUGCCAAGUUGGGUUAAAUGUUUUAUGGUCCUCAGCUUCUCGGACCCCAAAUUAGAGAAAGUAAUGCCUAUCCACAAAUAACUUGUGUGACAUCAGUAACUCUAAAGAGGUCUCCAUUUAGUAGAUGGAUCUCAAGCCAACUUAUUAAGGACUACUCCACACAAGUCGAACAUGACUAUACCAUCCUCCUAUCUUAAUCUCACUUAAGUUCGGGUUAGAACUUAUCUCACCACUCAUGGAUCACCAAGCACAACAAAUAGAUUAUGUCACACAAACAAUAUAUACAAACAUCAAAUAUACAAAUAUAUACACAUAAAAAAGUAGGCUAAACCCGCUAAGGACUACUUCCCAGCAGAGUCGCCACUUAAUUUCUGUAGCGGUAAAUUCAUGACCAUCGAGCUAUGGAUAAACUUGACGUUAAUAAAACCACAGUCGCCACCGCGCUUUUAUUAUUUCCAAAGGAAAAGGGAAAAGUACGAACAAAACCCAAAGAUAAGAAGUUUUCAAAUCAAAACUAAUAAAAUGCCAUGGAUUACAGGUAAGGGGAUUGGUUACACUAAGGGAAUGUGUUAGCACCUAAAGUGUCAUAGGUACUCCUAUGGAGCCCUUUUUUGCGUGCAUAUGUUUUUGGGUAUAAAUGAUAUUUGAUAAAAUAUAGAGUGUGGGGAUGAGAAAAGAAUUCAUUAAUUAUCUUUUUGUGUUUGAUAAGACCUUCGGUUUUACGCCUACGUACCAACAUAAAUAUGAGGGAUCAAAACCCCGUAGUUCGUGGUAAAAAUUUCAAAGAAGUUGGUGAAUUGAUUUUAACAAAAGUUUAACAAGAAAAGUGCACAAAAAGGCCAAACAUUUGAAUGAGGUUGUUAGUUCCUUUUGUCUUUUGAAAUUUAAGUCAAUAUGGUUAAGUUUAUUUACAAUUUUGAUUUAAGAAAAAGUUUUAAAAAAUCAAUGUCAUAAGGCCAAAGUUUAUAUUCAUUAAAACAUGUUUAAGUUGAAAAACACAAGCAAAGAAUUUUUUUGAAAACAGGGAGAAGUUUUGAAAUUUAAUAAGUGGGAGGAGGUGAAGAGACUAUCCUAAGCAAAAAUUUAAAAGUUAAGAGUUGAAAAGAUCUGACCAAUGGGAUGCAAUCCAACAGACAAGAAUGUCAUAUAGAAACUCAUUUUCCUUUGGACUUUGAUCAAGCAAUAAGCAAUAAAUAAUGAGCAAUAUCCAGACAUCAUAAAGAUCAAGGAAUCAAAUAAAGAUAGCCAUAUCCAAGCAAGAAUUCCAAUAGCUAGCAGUCUUCAGUGUCUUCCAAUGUAUCAGAUGAAAUAUUCCUUGAUCAGCUUAGAACAAAACAUUAGACAUAGACAAUAACCAAAAUAAAAAUUAAGCACUACGAUAAAGUAACAGAUGAAUCAAAGAGAUCCAAGUUCUUACAUCAGAUGAAAGUCAUUGUCAAAGAUAGCUCAGUCUCAGAUGGUGGCAUUGACCAAGUCCUUUAGCAUAGGGAAUGUUGCCUAAUUCUAAGUCCAAAGCUCAUAUCAAGUCCUAAUAGUCCACCAAAUGUUUUUUAAGGUUUUUGUUGUUAUUAGGGGUUUUAGGAUCCUAAGACCACAAAAUCAAAACACACAAACAAAUAUAUAUAAUCACAAGAUAUGGCUCAAGUGAGCAAAGUAAAAAAGGACUUAAACAUAAACAAGUUGUAUGAAAUGUACAUGACAAUGAAUGAUAAAUGACUGAAAUUUAAAUUGCAUAAAGUAAAUGACUUGAAAGUAAAAGCAUAGUGAAUAAGAGUUAGUCAAUGGUUAGUCAAAUGUUAGUGUUGAGUUUUAAUUGAUUAAGUCAUUAUUUGGAUAACACUCAACCAUUCACUCACAAGUAUGAAUCCUUGAACCAAGACAUCUUCCAUGAGAAGGACUCCAACUUGGAUAAUUCGACAAGUAUGCCACUAGCUCUCAUGAAAGGAAAAAAGGUCAAGUCUCCACACAAUUCCAUGAACAAUGGGAGACUUACAAUCUUACUUACUAGAAUGAUAUGCCUUCUUGAUCAAAUUUAGCUCUAUGUUAAGCAAUCAUAAUUGGACUUAUGUAGAAGUCACAACUCUAAGAGGCCGGGAAAUAAAAAUAUAAGUGUUAAUGCAUGUUAGACACAUGGUACAAAGAACCAAACUCUAAAAACAUACCACACACUAAAAGAAAAUGGGAGGGACCUAUUCAAUCAAACUUGUAUUGAUUCAUCUGACACAAGGUCAUUGAUGAAUCAAUUAGCAUUUAGACAUUAGAGAUUUCAUUGGUAAAUGAGGGAAUGGGGAAGAAUAGGGAUGAAGAUGAAGAGGGAGUGGGAAAAUAGAAACACAAAUUGAUCAUAAGAGGAAUUUCAUCUGAUCAAUACCAUCCAUUCAUUUUGGGAGAUGAAAUGUACAUUUCAUCAAUCCCCUAAAUCCAAUGGUUUUGAUAAAACAAAAGUUAAAUCAACCAUGACCAAGGCCCAAAUAUAAAUUCAAACAUCACAAGACCAUAAAAAUGGCUCAAAACAAUUUUUAAACAUUUAAUCAAUUAAAAAUCAAUUUAAAAAUGAAUGAAAAUGCAUUUUAAUUUUGACAAAAUCUCAAAUCCCUUCAAAACACCAAAUAAAUGGCCAAGGGAUUUAUCCUAGGUCAAAUAAGGUCAAAGGACCUUAGAUAAUUUUUUUUACAAUUUUUAGAAAGUCAGAAGUAUUUUAAAACAAUUAAAAAUAUGCACAAAAACAUUUAAUUCAUGAAAAAUACCAAAAUUAAUCCAAAAAAUAAUUUUAAUUCAAAAUAUGGAAGAGGAAAAUAUUUAAAGGUUUUUGGAAAAAGUCCCAUAUAUUUUGGAUUAAAAAUGAAAUUUCUAUGAAUUAAACAAAAUAAGUGGAUUAAAUGAAAAUUCAGAAAAUACGAAAAAACAAGGGCCAUAAGAUCUCCCUCAUUAAUUGAGGUGGCAGAUUUGAUGGACAAUCAUGCGCUUCACACCAUACACCUCAGUCAACGCGUCAUAGGGAUGGUAAUCAUAAAGAGCGGUUAAGAUUAAAACAUUUCAAAUGAAUCAGAAGGUUGGGAGAGUGUCAACUCACCACCGGAGCCCUAGCUCCGAUCUUCUUCUCCGACAGACCUCAUCGGACUGGUCCACCAACAACCUUCACAAAAAUGAAAAGUGUGGACAUGAUUUUAAAGGAAAAUUGCCCAAGAGCUCGAAUUUGACCUCCAUUUCAUCCAAUUCCAAGUAUAUUGAAAGAUACAUGGAUUUGAAAUUUGAGGUUCAUGAUCUGAGUUGAGAAAUGAGGGAGAAUCGAAGAAGAGAAGUUUGAGAAAAAUCACCUUUGGGUAGCUUCAAUUCAGCUUGAUCUUGCUUCCAAUUUGCCUUGGCUCGACUCUAAAAGCUUGCAGGAAGUGAAAUGGAUCAAUGAGAGGCUUGGACUCUUGGAGUUUCAAUCUUAAAAUAGAAGGAGAAUUGAAAUUCGAUUUCAAGUGAAAUCUUCAAGUUUAUCCUUUAAUGGAGGCUAGGGAUGCAAGUAUUGAAAGCUUGGGCAAAAGGGAUCCUCAUUUUGAUCACAAUGGUCAUGUAUAUAUAGCAUAGCUAGUUGCUUUUCACACACUUUGGAAUUUUCCCAAUUUUAGCAACUUUGGUGCAUGGAAGCAUGGGCAAUAAUUUAGGCCCAAGUCAUGAUGUGAUCUCACUCCAAUUCGUGCACAAUGAAUCCUGAAACAAUAACAUGUAAGCAUGCAAAAGGAAAAGGUCAAUUGAAUUCAAAUCUUUCCAAAACAAACCUAUGAAAGGAACCAUACACAAGUCCCUCAAAUCUUAUCCAAAUGAAGUGAUAUUGAAAUUUUUGGAAAGGUGACAUCAAGCGCAACAACUUUGAUGUUGAACACUUUUCCAUUUGAAGCUUGGAUCAUGAAGCAUUUUGAGGUGGAAGUUUUAGAAAUCAAACAUAAUUGAAAAUUUUUGAAGCUACCAAGUCAUAUGACCACUUGUUCCACCUUUAAUAACUUUUGCUAUGGACUUUAUCUUAUAAAAAUUGAGCAAGUUAUGGUCCUUGGAAGUUGACCUCCUAAGUAGGACACAAACAAAAUGACCUAUAAUCUUUCACCAUAAAUAAUGACAUUCCAUGCAAGACUGGCUCUUGAUGUCAACAUGAAAGUUGUUUGGAAUGUCAUAAAGAGUAACUUUUGAUGAUUUCAAGGCAAACAAGCUUCAAACUCUUGAUGAUUUCUUGAUCCAAAUUAUAAAUAAAGAGCAUGGGGAUCCAUAUAUUAUGUUUAGAACCAUUGUGAACAAUCUCUUGAUUCAUCUCCUUGCAUUGAGGGUCUCAAGUCCUAGUUGUGAGCUUGAUAGGGCACAGGUGAAUGAAUACACUACCUACAAAAGAAACAAAGCUAUAUAUGGACAUAUUUUUUGUAUUUUGGUUAGUAAACAGAGAAAAAUAAAGUAUGAUAUAAUCAAAUGUGCAUGGUGAUCUCUCCCAAUACAAACCCAAUGAAUAAGGGGUAAGAAGGAUGCUAAGGUGUGAUCCCACAACCAAUGCAAAUGAUGAGAUAGCAUAAUGGACCUUAGUGUCAAAAUUGGGGUCUUACAGCUGUCCCUAUAUAAGGACAUUCUAACUGAGGAUGUGAAGGUUAAAAUCUUCGUAUCAACUCAGUGUAAUAACAUCAAGAAAUAAAUUUUAGUCCCUAAGAGACCUCAUGAUGCAUAUGAUAUGAAUGUUAAAAUAAUCUUUGUGGGGAAUAUAUUUCCACAAAGGAAAAAAAAUCGGAGAGAUUGAAAGUCCAAAGGAGCAUAAUGUAUUUCGUAAGGAAAACUCACUGAGGAGACAAAGACUCUAGGGGAUAAAAUGUUAUGUGUAGGCCAGGCUAUGACUUGAAAACUGCUGGAGACACGAGGGAUUUUACAUAAAAAUAAAUCAAUGGAAAGACUCGGUCUGGGGAUAAGGUUAUCUGCAGGGGAUGGAGACUUCAUUAAGGAAAUAUACGCUCAAACUCAACUGGGGAAGAAUAAACUUCAACACAGGAGUAAAAGAGAUGUAUUAUCUACUACCAGUUACUGGGUAAGAAGAUAAUAUACUCUGACAGAGGCACAUCCGUUACCGGUUAGGGUAAAUAUAUCAAGGAUGACUCAUUGAGGAAAAAGAGGCGCAUUCAUUACCAGUUACUGGGUAAGAAUAACGUACUGGGGAGAAAAAAAAUCAAAUAGGAUUUACAAAUACCUUUUACUGGGUAGAAGACCAAAAAGAGAGUAUCCGUCACUGUUUAAAGUAAACAUAUCAAGGAUAAACUCAAAGGAAGAAUAUCUAUCAUCAGUUAGGAUGAGCAUAUCAAGGAUAGACCACCUGGGGAAAGAGGAAGAAUAUCUGUUACCUGUUAGGGUAAACAUAUCAAGGAUAAACUGCCGGGGAGAAAUAUGAAUUACAACUACCAAUUAUUGGGUAGAAGACCAAAGAUAGAGAAUACCCGUCAUCAGUUAGGAUGAACAUAUAAAGGAUAUACUCAGCAGAGGAUAUGGGAUUUACAACUACCGGUUACUAGGCAGAAGACCAUAAAAAUUGAGAGAAUUUGUCAUUGGUUAGAGUGAACAUAUCAAGGAUUAACUCUGAGGGGAAAAGUAUGAUUUAUAUCUACCAUUUACUGGGCAGAAGACUGCAUAGAGGAGAAAAUUCGUCACCGGUUAAACUGAACAUAUCAAGGAUAGAAUCUCUAGGGAAUAAAAGUAGGGAUUACAACUACCUUUUUAUUGGGUAGAAGACCAAAAAUAGAGAAUAUCUGUCAUCGGUUAGGAUGAACAUAUCAAGGAUAGACUCACCGGGGAAACGUGAAAAUAAAUCCGCUAGGGAAAAAUAAAGGAAGUAGAUUACAUUUGACUGGGUAUUGGGAAAAAGUGAUGUACUCAACAUCAAGAAGAAUAUUGUCCAUUACUGGGUAAUAGACUCUUGGAGACCAAAAGAUCCAUCUAGGUAAGAACUAGAAAGAAACGGUCAAACAAAGACUCAACCCAAUGAGGAUAUAAUUCAAGGGGAGUGGUUCCAUCCAGGUAAAGUACAGGGGAGAACACCAAAAUAAUAAUCAUCCAUGAGGAAAUAAAUCAAUGGGGAAUGAGAAAGGAUAAACUCUUUCUGCUUAAAGGGGAUAACACUCUACAAUUGAAGGAGGACAGACACACCAAAUCUGUCUGGGGAAAUAAUAUCACCAAAGAAGGGGAUUAGAAGAAAAAAUCAAUGCGAUAAAAAUGCAUAAUGAAAUAUAUGAUGUUGUGUUUUAUGCAUGAAUAUGCAUGUGUAUGAUUAUGAUUAUGCUGACAAAAACAGCACAAACGAUACAAAUAAUGAAGAUUUGAAUCAUCACUACAAAACACUCAGCUAAUCUCAACAAGAUGGAAACACCAACUAGAGAAUAUGCUAGGGAUGAAAAUAAAUCAUCUAACUCUGAAUAAAUCAACUCUGGAUGGGGAUAGACAUGGAGAACAUGUUUCCAAUCAAUCAUGGAAAACUCCACGGGGGGAAGAGAGCACUUCUGAAGGAUAAUCAACCACAAAGGUCUUGUCAAACACAAAAAUAUAAUCAAUGAAUUCUUUUCUCAUCCCCUCACUUUAUAUUUUAUCAAACAUCAUUUAUACCAAAAACAUAUGCACACAAAAAAGGGCUCCCUAAGAGUACCUAGGAUACUUUGGGUGCUAACACCUUUCCUCUAUGUAACCAACCCCCUUACCUGUAAUCUCUGACAUUUUAUUAGUUUUGAUUUGAAAACUUCUUAUCUUUGGGUUUUGUUCAUACUUUUCCCUUUUCCUUUGGAAAUAAUAAAAGCACGGUGGGGACUCUAGUUUUAUUGACGUUAAGCUUAUCCAUAACUUAAUGGUCAUGAAUUUACCGCUAUAGAAAUUAAGUGGCGACUCUGCCGAGGAGUAGUACUCAGUGGGUUUAGCCUACUUUUUUAUGUAUGUAUAUGUAUAUUUGAUGUUUGUUUGUAUAUAUUGUUGUGUGAUAAUUCUAUCUGUUGUGCUUGGUGAUCUAUGUGUGGUGAGAUAAGUUCUAACCCAAACUUGAGUGCAAUUAAGAUAAGAGGAUGGUAUAGUCAUGUUCAACUUGUGUGGAGUAGUCCUUAACGAGUUGGCUUGAGAACUAUCUACUCAGUGGAUACCUCUUUAGAGUUAAUGAUGUCACACAAGUAAUUUUUGGAUAGGCAUUACUUUAUCUAAUUUUGGGGUCCGAGAAGUUGAGGAUCGUAGAACAUUUAACCCAACUUAGCCUAUUUAGGACGUAGUGCAGAGACUGUUCAAGUGUAGACUUGAUAACAGUUGUUACGCGAUAUUACACUCAUACGAGUUUCUCUUGAGAAUAUUAUGGGUUGAUGAGUCAGUCAUCCUACCCUAUAAUAUCUGAUAGAUGGAAUCAAGACUCUGAGAACUUUUUAGAACAGGAUCUACAAGUUUUUAUCCUUAGUACACUCUGUUGGGAUGGUUCUUAACCCGACUCCAUGCUCAUGACUCACAAAAAACCCUUUGAUUCUUGGUUGAUCCAAUCAAGUCUUGUCAAUAUCAAUGGAACUUGGGUGUCGAUAAGGUGAAAACCAUAAUCCACCAAAAUGGAUGAUUGAUCUUGAUGAUGACUUAAUCCAUCCUUUGACCUUUGUUUGUGUUUUCCUUGUGUGUGAUUGUUGCAUUCAGGCAUACAUGCGCAUCAUGACAUUCAUCAUAGAAAAAAUAAAUUUCAAGGAAACCAAGGUAUCAUUUGCAAAUAUUUUCAGACCAUGGAUUAUGGACGAAAGAACACUAAUAAGUACAGUUUCAGAUAUCCUGAUUUGAAAGAGCUAAGAAAAU